rnacentral:lncRNA from 1 species
GGGAGGAACCAAGGUUUCUCCUCCAGCCCAGGGAGCCAGGGGCUGGCAUUCUGUGUCCAGGACUUCGGGCCCUCUGUGAGCCUCUGUCCGCCAAGGCGAUGGAGCUGUGUUUGGAGUCCCUCGUCUUUGGCAGCGGCUGGGGCCAAAGCCCGGGCAAGACCAACGCCUUCGGCACCCGGACUCAGGCUCCGUCCUCUCUGCCAGCGUGCGGCUACAAUGACUCGACAUGGCAGGCCACUGCCUUCAGAGAAGGUGACAGAGGGCCAUGUCUGAAACAUUCUCCCACAACCAGGAACCCUCAGCAGCCGCUGAAGAGGAAAGGCAGUUAAAUGGAAAGACUUCUGAGCAAGUGGAGGAAAAGUCACGUGUGACCUAGGGAGGGGCUCCCACAGGAAGGGGCAAUGCCCUUGCCCUGUUCACCUAGCCUCCAGGUGGCUUCCCACUUGAAAUUUCAGAGGAUGGCAGAAACCUACUUACAAGGAAAUGAAAGAGGGCACAGCAACCUUAAGACCAGAGCAGCCCACGAUAUUUUUUAAUGAGGGCAAAAAUAGAAGACUUGCAAAAGACCCCUGAAAAUAAUGCCUGGAAGCUGCGAAACAUCAGACUGACACCGCACAAAAGAGGUCCAGCUGAGCAGGAGAAAAGCUUGAGAAGCAUCCAGAACAAUGUAGGUGGAGAGGCUAAGAAGAAAGAGGAGCCCACAUGGAAUGAAUAACCAAGGUCGGGACAGAGGAAGGUUCGCCAGAACUGGGAGGGCUGAAAUUGGACAUUGAGAUAAAUUAAAGAGUGUUCUUUAAAACUGUCAAGACUUUGGCUGGUCAAUAAGUAAACUGCAAACGAGUGUUCCUAAACCACAGCAGCAAUGCUCCCUGGAGGAGGGAAGGAGGCCGGGGCUGCCACUCUCCCAGGUGGCUGCGUCCCGGCCUUUGCCAUUGAUGUGUGCUUUCUCCAGGCUCACAGAUGUCCCUGGGCCGGUUGCAUCUGUGACCAGGACUCUGCCACCUGCCUGUGGCUUGCUGAUCAGCUGGUCACCCAGGAAUGUUAGGGAUGAACAGAGACCUAGAACUCAGGCUCCAUGGAUCUGGCAGCACCAGGAGACGAGGUUUCAAAUCUCAUGGCUGGGCCAGCCAGCCAGGUGCCCUGGAACUGUUGUGAUCCCUGCUCCUUGCCGGGCUUAGCCUCCUCUUACUUCAGCCCAGAAGUCCCCGAGUACCCACUCAACAAAUGCCAUCCCUUUAAUUUCUGUGGCCUGCUGCCAUCACGGCUCGCCUAAUUCAUUCCCUCCACACCCUAAGUGUCCACGGAAGUGGCUGAAACAGUAAAACCACAGAGGAGCAUUCAUUCCAGUCCCCAAGGCAAGCCCCC